ACUGCCCCUAGAGGCAUUGCAGGUGUGGCUGCUGUGUCUUAUGUUUGUCAGUAGGUGGCAGAGAGGCAAAAGGCUACUUUUAUGCCCAGUGUCACCUGUGAACAACUGAAUGAUUAAGUAGCCCAACAUU